UGAUACCACACGGGAGAGACCCCUCCACGGGGCGCCGACGGGGCAACACUCCCCAGUAACCUCUCAGGCAAAAGGACCGUGUGGAGAGG
rnacentral:ncRNA from 2 species